rnacentral:rRNA from 1 species
UACGUAGGGUGCAAGCGUUAAUCGGAAUUACUGGGCGUAAAGCGCACGCAGGCGGUUCGGUUAGUCAGAAGUGAAAGCCCCGGGCUCAACCUGGGAAUAGCUUUUGAUACUGCCGAGCUUGAAUCACGGAGAGGGUAGUGGAAUUCCGAGUGUAGAGGUGAAAUUCGUAGAUAUUCGGAAGAACACCAGUGGCGAAGGCGACUACCUGGCCGUCGAUUGACGCUCAUGUGCGAAAGCGUGGGGAGCAAACAGG